rnacentral:rRNA from 1 species
AACGAACGCUGGCGGCGUGUCUUAAGCAUGCAAGUCGAGCGGCAAGCGCAGCAAUGCGCCUAGAGCGGCGGACUGGUGAGUAACGCGUGGGUGAUCUGCCCUUGGGAUGGGGAUAGCCAUUAGAAAUAGUGGGUAAUACCGAAUACGUUCGUCGGACUGCGGUCCGGCGAGGAAAGGCGCUUCGGCGCUGCCCGAGGAUGAGCCCGCGUCUCAUUAGCUAGUUGGUGGGGUAAGAGCCAACCAAGGCGAUGAUGAGUAGCCGGCCUGAGAGGGUGUACGGCCACACUGGGACUGAGAUACGGCCCAGACUCCUACGGGAGGCAGCAGCUAAGAAUAUUCCGCAAUGGACGAAAGUCUGACGGAGCGACGCCGCGUGGAUGAUGAAGGCCGUGGGGUUGUAAAAUCCUUUUGUCGGGGAAGAAUAAGCGUGGGAGGGAAUGCCCGCGUGAUGACAUGAACCGGCGAAUAAGCCCCGGCUAACUACGUGCCAGCAGCCGCCGUAACAC